rnacentral:rRNA from 1 species
UACGGAGGGUGCAAGCGUUGUUCGGAAUUACUGGGCGUAAAGCGCGUGUAGGCGGUCGCUUAAGUCUGAUGUGAAAGCCCGGGGCUCACCCCCGGAAGAGCAUUGGAAACUGGGCGACUAGAGUGCCGGAGAGGAGAGUGGAAUUCCUGGUGUAGCGGUGAAAUGCGUAGAUAUCAGGAGGAACACCGGUGGCGAAGGCGGCUCUCUGGACGGAUACUGACGCUGAGACGCGAAAGCGUGGGGAGCAAACAGG